AUGAAUUUUUCUCUUAUUGAGAUAAUUCCCUUUUGUGAUUUGAAACGAAACUUAUUUAUUUUGGGGUUUAAAGAUGAUUUUUUGAAAGCCGUGGUGAAAGCCAUGGUUUUAAAUAAAUCGACCCCAAAAGCCAAAUAAUAAUAUCUUUACUACUUUGACUGAAAAAUUUAUUGUAUUUAAAAUAUGAAAAA
rnacentral:misc_RNA from 1 species